rnacentral:rRNA from 1 species
AACGAACGCUGGCGGCAGGCUUAACACAUGCAAGUCGAGCGCCCCGCAAGGGGAGCGGCAGACGGGUGAGUAACGCGUGGGAAUCUACCCAUCUCUACGGAAUGACGCAUGGAAACGUGUGCUAAUACCGUAUACGCCCUUAGGGGGAAAGAUUUAUCGGAGAUGGAUGAGCCCGCGUUGGAUUAGCUAGUUGGUGGGGU